rnacentral:rRNA from 1 species
UACGUAGGGUGCGAGCGUUAAUCGGAAUUACUGGGCGUAAAGCGUGCGCAGGCGGUGAUGUAAGUCAGGUGUGAAAUCCCCGGGCUUAACCUGGGAAUUGCAUUUGUGACUGCACGGCUAGAGUGUGUCAGAGGGGGGUAGAAUUCCACGUGUAGCAGUGAAAUGCGUAGAUAUGUGGAGGAAUACCGAUGGCGAAGGCAGCCCCCUGGGAUAACACUGACGCUCAUGCACGAAAGCGUGGGGAGCAAACAGG